rnacentral:rRNA from 1 species
GACGUAGGGCGCGAGCGUUGUCCGGAUUUAUUGGGCGUAAAGAGCGUGUAGGCGGCCAGGUAGGUCUGCUGUGAAAACUCGAGGCUUAACCUCGAGCUGUCGGCGGAAACCAUCUGGCUAGAGUCCGGAAGAGGAGAAUGGAAUUCCCGGUGUAGCGGUGAAAUGCGCAGAUAUCGGGAAGAACACCCGUGGCGAAGGCGGCUCUCUGGGACGGUACUGACGCUGAGACGCGAAAGCGUGGGGAGCGAACAGG